UACGUAGGGGGCAAGCGUUGUCCGGAAUCAUUGGGCGUAAAGAGCGCGUAGGCGGUCCGGUAAGUCCGCUCUGAAAGCCCGGGGCUCAACCCCGGGAGGCGGGCGGAUACUGUCGGGCUAGAGUCCGGAAGAGGCGAGUGGAAUUCCUGGUGUAGCGGUGAAAUGCGCAGAUAUCAGGAGGAACACCGGUGGCGAAAGCGGCGCGCUGGACCUCUUCUGACGCUGAGGCGCGAAAGCCAGGGGAGCAAACGGG
rnacentral:rRNA from 1 species